CCAAGCCCAGGCCUGGCCGAGGCGCGGGUGGCAGAUCGGACCAACCUGACCGGAGGGCGUGGGCGCCUUCACGGGGCUCGCCGCGGGCAGGGGGUCAAAGUCCAGGUCCAGCAGGCUGGCCUGCUCCGAGAACGGCCCCGGGGCCU